rnacentral:rRNA from 1 species
UACGUAGGUGGCGAGCGUUAUCCGGAUUUACUGGGCGUAAAGGGAGCGUAGGCGGAUGAUUAAGUGGGAUGUGAAAUACCCGGGCUCAACUUGGGUGCUGCAUUCCAAACUGGUUAUCUAGAGUGCAGGAGAGGAGAGUGGAAUUCCUAGUGUAGCGGUGAAAUGCGUAGAGAUUAGGAAGAACACCAGUGGCGAAGGCGACUCUCUGGACUGUAACUGACGCUGAGUCACGAAAGCGUGGGUAGCAAAC